GCGCUCCUCCGGUCAUGUGACGCAGACGGUUCACCUCACAAGACCGGGGUCAACCACAGCUACCAGCAUGAACGACGGCGCUUCAAUGCACAAUGAGGGACGUCUGCAGCGACUGAGAAAGAGUCUCACCACAUCCUGACAUGAGGAAAAAGACUUUAUUGAAGACUACAAUGAGAAAAACUAUCCAGACAGCAGACGGCUGCAUUCAAGGUGAGCUCUGAACAUUUGAUCUGGAACAGGAAUUCAAUAACGGCAGCAUGAGCUUCAUUUCAGUCUGUAGCUGCUGAAUUCAUGGAUGAAUCAUCUGGCACUAGAGAGCAAGACCAUCAAACAUCCAUGUCAGCUGAUGGAGGCCCAAGAGUCUCACCAAACAAACAACCUACAGAGUGAAGACCUCCAAUCUGAUUGGACGGCCUCCUAUUCAGCCACAUGUGAACAAAUGCCUCUAAGCUGAUUUGUUUUCUAAAAUAAAUCUAGUUUGUGUCCUAAUCAAUGCUUGUGUGUUUGCUUCUUUACACCACUGUUAACAGUUUAGGCUGUUAGAUUGUUCCAGAUAAGACAAGUACAAGAUUCUUCAGAGUCGUUCUACCACGAGCCUGACAGGAAGAACUCCAACAGCUACUGAAUGUUCCUGUGGUCCCCUCAAGGCUACAGGAGGAGUCCUACGAGGACGAGCCGGUCCACCUGAUGGUGGCCAGUCGCUGUGGUUCAAAGCCAACACCGACUACGUGGACUUCUACUGGACCACACGGAGGCCUUCAAACCGGACCAACAAGUUCAGCGACUCCCCGACUCGUGGGUCUGAGGACGCCGCCGAGCCUCGGCCCAGCCGGCCUCCUGUCUGUGGGUGUUUGAGUGCUGAGAGGUUUGUGGAUGCAUGUGAACGUUCCGUGUUGAAACAGCAGCUUUGGACUCAGUAACGCCGGGAAAAACCAAGAGCUCCUUUAUUUGUGACUUCCACUAAAAAACUGAUGAAAAUAAGUUUGCCAGGGUUCUGACUGAUAACAGAUUAUUAAAUAAUGAAAGUAAUCGUUUAAAUAUUCCUUUAAACAAUCCUUUUAGGUCUACAUUUCCUUUACACUGAUUUCUUGGUAUAUGUACAAGUAUUUUGGGUGGAAUAUACCAUUAAGCCCAAUGUUCAAGGGUUCUUCUGGGAAUAUACCAUUAAACCAACCUUUUAGGUAAAUGUUCCAAGAUGUUGGGUAGAAUAUACCAUCAGAUAAACCUUUUAGGUCUACAUUGGAAGAUUUUAGAGUAGAAUAUUACUCCAAACCAUCCUUUAGGUCUACAUUUAAGGUGGAAUACUCCUUUACACCAAGAUUUUUUGGUCUACAUUGAAGGAUUUUGGGUGGAAUAUUCCUUUGAAAGAACUUUUUAAGUUUAUGUUCAAGGAUGUUGGGUGGAAUAUACCACCUGUUUUUGUUUUGCUCCUCGGCGACCCUAGACACCCGGGUCGUAAUGUUUUUUGAGCAACACACCAUACUAUGACGUUUUUACAAUGAUGGUUCUACUAUGGAACCAGUUUGACAUGUUCAGGCGUUCUUUGUGUGAAAACAGAGAUUUCAGGUAUCAGAAGGUGGUUUUCAACUUUCUUUGUUAACUUUCUGCCUCAACUUUAAACUAAAUUUCCUUCACUAACCCAACCCUCUGGACUCCCAGUAAGCUGUGUUCCUAUUGGCUGUCCAGGUGGCUGCUUGGUGUUAUCAGGAACACCUGAGCAGCUCACUAUCUUCCUGCUUUAUGUGGCUGCAGACAAACAUUUCCUCUGCUUUCACCACUGAACUGGGUUUGGCUCCUUUGCUUUAGUUUGUUCUUUAGGCGUUGGCUUGCAGCUUCCAGCAGUAAAAUCGUCUUUAAUGUGUUUCUUGGUGUGUUUUAGGGCUUUGUACUGGAUAGUUGUCUUGGUAAAUGUGGUUCUUUAGCCACAGUUAGCACAUGGUGCUAAUGUGUGCAGUGAUUAGUGGAUUCAGUGCAGCUGAGUUGUGUCUUUAUCUUGGCUGUAGUGAGUCUUUAGAGGUUUUUGGUCAGACACAUUCUGUAUUCUUGUUUGAGAACCAGCGUUGGUUGUCCAGAAGGUAAGAGUUCCUGUCCUGAUUCUCUGUUCUCAGAGGUUCUCUGGUAGGCUGCAGGAGACUUUAGCGUUUGGGUUGUGCUAGUUUGGUUUUUGUAUGGUUUCAUUUGGACGACUAUCUUGAGGCUCCUCCAUGUGGUUUAGUGAGGUUUUCUGGAACAGUUCUACAAAGCAACCUGCAGCAGAAGAGACUUUGAGAGUUUUUAGGAAGUUCUGGAGACCAGACUUUAGAGCAGCAGAAACAUUUGUCAGCAGUUUGAGCAAGAGAAGGUGAGCUUCAGAGUAGAAAUGAGAUGGAAACCUUCUUGACCCGUGUGGUGAGGUCCUGUACCAAGAGUUUGAGCAGGUUGUGAAGAGUCUGUAGUUCUUUGGUCUGAAAGCACAAGAAGAGUCGACUCAUUAAAGGAGAAAACAGGAGAUAUUGUUGGUUCUUCUGUCACUCUACAGUUAGGGGUUAGGGGGUUAGACUGAAUAUAAAGUUUAUGUUUUAAAUGAUUUGCCAUGUGAGCCCAAGGAGACUUCAAUAAACUCCCUCCAUCCCCUGGACACAACACAUUUUAUUACGAUGUUAAAUCUUUUUUUUUUUUUUUUUUUUUUUUUUUUUUUUUUUUUUUAAAUGUUUUUUGUUUUAAUCAUAGUUUUAGCAUAGUUUUUUCUCUUUGCUUGUUUAGUUUUGUCAUCUGUGUGAAAGGUGCU
ensembl:lncRNA